GAGGGGAAAAAUUAAUAAAAAAAAAAUAAUAGAAGAAAUUUUAGAUAGGAUGCUUAUAUGGGGGUUUAAGUAUUUUUGAAGAAAUAAUUUAAAAAUUUAUAGUGAAGUAGUAUUGUGAAAGAAUUUUGAAAUAUAUGAAAAUAAAUUUAUAUUAAAGUAUAUUUUAUUUAUAGUAUCUUGUGUAUCAGAGUUUAUUAAUAAAAUUUUUUAGGUAAAGUUUCUCGAAUUUUAAAGGGCUAAUUAAUUAAAAAAGUUAAUGUUGAAUAAUUAUUUUUAAUAAUUAAUUAGAAAUGAGAUGUUAAUCGUUUUAAAAUAUAUCUAGUUUUUUUAAAAAUAAAUUUAAUUUAGAAUAUUAAAGAUAAUUUUUUAUUUUUUUUAAAAAAUUAAGAUUAAUAUUUAAUAUUUUAAGGGAUAAGCUUUAAAAUAAAUUUUUAUAAUUAAUAUAUUGGGGUAAUUAAAAUUUUAAAAUUUAUAUUGUUAAUAAAAAAUAAUUUUUAAUAAAAAUAAUUUAGUUAAAAUGAUAAAAUUAGUAUAUUUUAAUAAGUAAUAUAAUUAUAAGUAAAAAUAAAAUUAUAAUAAGGAAUUCGGCAAAAAUUUAUAUUCACUUGUUUAUCAAAAACAUGUCUUUUUGUAAAUAAUUUAAAGUCUAGUCUGCCCACUGAAAAAUUAAAGGGCUGCAGUAUUUUGACUGUACAAAGGUAGCAUAAUCAUUUGUCUCUUAAUUGGUGACUUGUAUGAAAGAUUGGAUGAAAUAUAUACUGUCUCAUUAUAAUUAAUAAAAUUUAAUUUUUUAGUUAAAAAGCUAAGAUGAUUUUAAAAGACGAGAAGACCCUAUAGAGUUUGAUAAUUAUUAUUAUAUUAGGGUAAUGUAAAAUUUUAAAUUAAGAUAAUGAUAAUUAUUUUGUUGGGGUGACAAAAAAAUAAAAUAAACUUUUUUUAAAUAAUUUACAUAUAUAAAUGAAUAAAUGAUCCAUUUUUAAUGAUUAAAAGAAAAAAUUACCUUAGGGAUAACAGCGUAAUUUUUUUUUUUAGGUCUAAUAAGAAAAAGAGUUUGCGACCUCGAUGUUGGAUUAAGAUAAAAUUUAAAUGCAAAAGUUUAAAAUUUUGAUCUGUUCGAUCAUUAAAAUCUUACAUGAUCUGAGUUCAAACCGGUGUAAGCCAGGUUGGUUUCUAUCUUUAAAUAAAUAAAAUAUUUUAGUACGAAAGGAUCAAAUAUUUGAAAUAAUUUUUUAUACA
rnacentral:rRNA from 1 species